rnacentral:rRNA from 1 species
GACGAAGGUGGCGAGCGUUGUUCGGAAUCACUGGGCAUAAAGCGCACGUAGGCGGCGGCGUAAGUCGGAUGUGAAAUCCCUCGGCCCAACCGAGGAACUGCGUCCGAUACUGCGUUGCUUGAGGACCAAAGGGGUGCAUGGAAUUCCCGGUGGAGCGGUGAAAUGCGUUGAUAUCGGGAGGAACGCCGGCGGCGAAAGCGGUGCACUGGUUGGUUUCUGACGCUGAGGUGCGAAAGCCAGGGGAGCAAACGGG